AUUAAAAUUAAAAUUAAAUGAGAAAUUCUUUUCCACCCUCUGUGUUGAUGCAUGUUUUAUUCAAUACAGAAGAACAUUAUAUUACUUAAUUAGCAUGCUUCAUACAUCAUUAAAAUCAUGGAACUGCAACUAUCUUAAUUCCUCAUACAACUUAAUUCAGCUGCUCUUACUGCCUUCCCAAUAGCUUCAUUGAAAUUUAUUCGCAAUGAAUUAUAGUUUCCCCGAAAAGGAAUCCCAUUAGGCUGCUAGUUCUUCAACUCUUGCCAUUAAUAUCUUCAUUAACCACGAGCUGCAACUGCUUGGGUUUGUCUUCAUUCUUUUCUAAAUCCCAUUUUUGUGGCUUUUCCAUGACACCCCUUUUUCUAUACUUGCAGUACAACACAAGUUGGAGGAUGCCUAAUGGGGUACCGAGCAAAUUAGGAGACGCUAGAAAGAUAUCACGGCUGAAUAGUCCAUAAGCUAGCCACAGAGAACUUGCCAGGAAUGAAAAAAAUGAUAAGUAGAAUGGCAUGAAUUCCACGCUCUUUGUUUGUAUUACUUGCUUCAUAACCACUAGUGGAGAACCAUACAUUCCCACAGACCCCACCAGACCAACACUUCCUGUGAAUACCUUGCGACUAUGGUGAUCGUGGAACGCAAAAGAUGAGAUAGCUGCAGUUAUGGAGAAAAACAGGAGGACAGGAAGCAACAUAACACCAACUUUUAUCUGCACAUUCAUAAAUUUUUAAAGUUAAAAUAGAUGUUAAGAGUUCAAAUCUUAUACUUCUUGCACUAUAAUUAGAUACUUGAUUCAUGUAAAUUUUAAUUAUAUAUUGGCUGGCAUAUAUAUAUGUGGAAAUAAAUCAAGAACGUAAAUAAUAUUAAUAAUAAUAAAGAAUGUUUCUCAUUUGCUCACCCUUCCUCUAGUUUCAGCGAAGCGAAAAUAUAUGAUAAUGAAAGAAGUCUCAAGAAAGAUGCCUAAACCAUUGAUAGUGACGAGAGGGAAGUUUUCCCAUUUGUAGCUCACAACAGGUAAUCCAUACCAAGUGUAAAGGAGACAGUUUAACAAUGUAAUGAUGUAAGGAACGCAUGAAAACUCCUCGGUGCUUCUCUUCCUUACCACCCUUGUGAAAGUUAAUAUGGGUGCAGUGUAAAGUAACAAGGAAGCUGCAUUG
rnacentral:misc_RNA from 1 species